ACUGAACUUCAGCUAUGCAUCUCUCCCCUGAAGAAUUUAAAUGUGGAUCUUUGGGUUGCGAAAGCUGAGCAUGAGAAGUUGCUGUGAAAUCAACAAUUCAGAAAUGCCAGUAAGUGGAUUUGGGAUGUCAACAGUGUGUUAUAACAGCAACACACUCUUGAUAAUAAACCACAGGUGAGGAACAAACUUGCUUUCUCCUUUGGAAAAAAAAAAAAAAAAAGUAAGAUAAACGCACACACACAAAAAACCCCAACCUUACAUUCUUAAGCAAUAUAGAAUUAUAUUGAUGUAUCUCUUAUCUUUAACCAAAAGUAGCAUCUUGAAAAUUUUAAUGGGCUAAUUAUACACUGAUGGUCAUCUAGAAAUGUGGUUAUUUUCAGGUCUUUAUGUCCUGACAAUUUUAGGAGUUAUCAACUGGAAAAUUGGCAUGCAAACACAGAAUUUC
rnacentral:lncRNA from 1 species